CUAGACGCCGGGCGCGUCUCCGUGUUGGGCGGCUGGGUGGUCGUCACCUGCUCGUUCGGUGACCCUGCCGCGGACGCCACGCACGUCUUCCUCGGCUUCGCGCUCCUGCUCCUCGGCGUCCUCCUGCUGACGCUCUCGCCAGCGGCGUGCCAGUUUCCUUGGGUUGCACGGGUCGGCGCCGUCGUGGCAAAAGCCGUCCUGAGCUACCUCUUCGCGCCGGAGAACUAG
rnacentral:rRNA from 1 species